rnacentral:lncRNA from 13 species
GGAAGGGUUACCGCUGCACCACCGAGGCUGAGGAUGAGGAGGAGGCGGCUCGGGUAGCAGAGGCGGAAAAGAAGGAUCUGGAGAUGUGUACAGGCAACAGACCUUCCUCUGGGUCACCCAGGCAACAGACCUUCCUCUGGGUCACCCAGGCAACAGACCUUCCACUGGGUCACCCAGGCAACAGACCUUCCUCUGGGUCACCCAGGCAACAGACCUUCCUCUG